CGAGGAGCGGCGGAGGCAGAGGCCGGGUGAGACCAUAGGAGCCGAGUCGGGCAUCUGGGGACAGCAUGUCGGCCAAGGAUCCAGGCUCAGCGUCCUGGCUGGGGAUGGACCCCUUUGAGGACACGCUGCGGCAACUGCGGGAGGCCUUCGCCUCGGGGCGGACGCGGCCGGUGGAGUUCCGGGUGGCGCAGCUGGAGGGCCUGAGCCGCUUCCUGAGGGACAACAGGCAGCUGCUGCUGGACACGCUGGCCCAGGACCUGCACAAGUCGGCCUUCGAGGCAGACAUGGCGGAGUUCAUCCUGUGCCAGAACGAGGUGGACCUGGCCCUCAGGAGCCUGCACACCUGGAUGAAGGACGAGCCGGUGGCCACAAACUUGCUCACGAAGCUGGACUCGGCCUUCAUCCGCAAGGAGCCCUUCGGCCUGGCGCUCAUCAUCGCCCCCUGGAACUACCCCCUGAACCUCACGCUCGUGCCCCUGGUGGGGGCCAUCGCGGCAGGGAACUGCGUGAUCCUGAAGCCAUCGGAAAUAAGCAAGGGCACAGAGAAAGUGCUGGCCGAGGUGCUGCCCCAGUACCUGGAUCAGAGCUGCUUCGCCGUGGUGCUGGGCGGGCCCGAGGAGACCAGGCAGCUGCUGGAGCACAGGUUCGACUACAUCCUGUUCACGGGGAGCCCCGGCGUGGGCAAGAUUGUCAUGGCCGCCGCUGCCAAGCACCUGACGCCGGUCACCCUGGAGCUGGGGGGCAAGAACCCCUGCUACGUGGACGACGACUGUGACCCCCAGACCGUGGCCAACCGGGUCGCCUGGUUCCGGUACUUCAACGCCGGCCAGACCUGCGUGGCCCCGGAUUACGUGCUGUGCAGCCCCGAGACGCGGGAGCGCCUGCUGCCCGCCCUGCAGAACGCCAUCGCCCGUUUCUAUGGCGACGACCCCCAGCGCUCCCCCAACCUGGGCCGCAUCAUCAACCAGAAGCAUUUCAAGCGGCUGCAGGGACUGCUGGGCUGUGGCCGCGUGGCCAUCGGCGGCCAGAGCGACGAGAGCGAGCGCUACAUCGCGCCCACUGUGCUGGUGGACGUGCAGGAGACGGAGCCAGUGAUGCAGGAGGAGAUCUUCGGGCCCAUCCUGCCCCUGGUGAGCGUGAGGAGCCUGGAUGACGCCAUCGACUUCAUCAACCGUCGGGAGAAGCCCCUGGCCCUCUACGCCUUCUCCAACAGCACCCAGACGAACCCAGGCUGAAAAGGACGGCCCUUCACUAAGUCAGCCAGGCCACCCUCGGGUUUCCAGACACGGGAACCGCAGCGUCGGGUCCUCUGUCCCCGUGCUCCCUCCACACGGCCCCUCCCUGAGACUGAGCAGGCGCACCACACCCUCCCGGGAUGCCUCCCUGACUACGCGGCACUCCACUGCCAUGACACUGUGCACGUCCCCGGUGACACGCCUCCUGCCUCCCCCUUGGGCUGGAGAGUGUCCCAGCACACUGCCCAGGCCGCACGCACUCGGGACACACACAGCGGUCUGAGGGCUGCGAGCAGCACAGGCCCCGCCUGUCCCGCCGUGCCCACCCGCAGCAGAGGUGGCGGCUCAGACCCUUUGGGACAAGGCCGGAGCAGCCAGUUCCGCCUCGCACGCCUCUGCUCCCUCCCAGGUGGUCCAACGGGUGCUGGCCCAGACCAGCAGCGGGGGCUUCUGCGGGAAUGACGGCUUCAUGCACAUGACCCUGGCCAGCCUGCCCUUCGGAGGAGUGGGCAACAGCGGGAUGGGCAGGUACCACGGGAAGUUCUCCUUCGACACCUUC